rnacentral:rRNA from 1 species
AUUGAACGCUGGCGGCAGGCUUAACACAUGCAAGUCGAGCGAGCGGAGGACGGGUGAGUAAUGUCUGGGAAACUGCCUGAUGGAGGGGGAUAACUACUGGAAACGGUAGCUAAUACCGCAUACCAUCAGAUGUGCCCAGAUGGGAUUAGCUAGUAGGUGGGGUAAUGGAUCACCUAGGCGACGACCCCUAGCUGGCCUUAGAGGAUGACCGGCCACACUGGAACUCAGACACGGUCCAGACUCCUACGGGAGGCAGCAGUGGGGAUUAUUGCACAAUGGGCCCAAGCCUGAUGCAGCCAUGCCGCGUGUGUGAAGAAGGUCUUCGGGUUGUAAAGCACUUUCAGCGAGGAGGCGUUACUCGCAGAAGAAGCACCGGCUAACUCCGUGCCAGCCGCCGCGGUAAUUC